rnacentral:rRNA from 1 species
UUGCAGUUAAAAAGCUCGUAGUUGGAUUUCUGGUAGGAGCGGCCGGUCCGCCCCGUAAUGGGGUGCGCACUAGAGCCGCCUCCGGCCAUCCUUGGGGGAACUGCUAUGGCAUUAACUUGUCGUGGUAUGGAACCCAUCGUUUACUGUGAAAAAAUUAGAGUGUUUAAAGCAGGCUUAGGCCGUUGAAUACAUUAGCAUGGAAUAAUAAGAUAGGACCUUACGGACCUCUUGUUGGUUUGCGCCGAAAGGUAAUGAUUAAUAGGGAUAGUUGGGGGUAUUCGUAUUUAAUUGUCAGAGGUGAAAUUCUUGGAUUUAUGAAAGACGAACUUCUGCGAAAGCAUUUACCAAGGAUGUUUUCACUAAUCAAGAACGAAAGUUAGGGGAUCGAAGAUGAUUAGAUACCAUCGUAGUCUUAACCAUAAACUAUGCCGACUAGGGAUUGGCGGUCGUUCUUUUAUGACUCCGUCAGCACCUUAUGAGAAAUCAAAGUCUUUGGGUUCCGGGGGGAGUAUGGUCGCAAGGCUGAAACUUAAAGGAAUUGACGGAAGGGCACCACCAGGAGUGG